rnacentral:rRNA from 1 species
AACGAACGCUGGCGGCAUGCCUAACACAUGCAAGUCGAACGAGACCUUCGGGUCUAGUGGCGCACGGGUGCGUAACGCGUGGGAACCUGCCCUUAGGUUCGGAAUAACUCCCCGAAAGGGGUGCUAAUACCGGAUAAUGUCUUCGGACCAAAGAUUUAUCGCCUUUGGAUGGGCCCGCGUUGGAUUAGCUAGUUGGUAGGGUAAAAGCCUACCAAGGCGACGAUCCAUAGCUGGUCUGAGAGGAUGGUCAGCCACACUGGGACUGAGACACGGCCCAGACUCAUACGGGAGGCAGCAGUGGGGAAUAUUGGACAAUGGGCGAAAGCCUGAUCCAGCAAUGCCGCGUGAGUGAUGAAGGCCGUAGGGUUGUAAAGCUCUUUUACCCGGGAUGAUAAUGACAGUACCGGGAGAAUAAGCUCCGGCUAACUCCGU